GCUGACACAUCCCGGCCAAUCUCCAGCAGACCCUCCCUCCCAGACCCUCCUACUUCCUGGACAGCAUCCAUGUUGAGGGCAGCUUCAACAUGGAUGCUGUCCAGGAGGUGGGAGGGUCUGGGAGGGAGGGUCUGCCGGAGAUUGGCAGGGAUGUGUCAG